UUUUAAAAAUGUCUGUGAAGGGAAGCAACAUCAAAUUUUUAGUUUUUUAUUGGAUACGUUUUGGCUAUUGACGAUCCGUUUACAGCAGGCAAUUAUCGCGAAUUUCUAUCCCAAACUAUUGGUGUAAGACAGGCAGGCUGUUUUGCUAGUGUGUUCGAGGAAUGUGACUUUUACUUCAACGACACGCUGUGGCAUACAUCGUCCUUUGGCAAGCUGCUGACACAUUGUCCACGCGACAGAAGUUGUGGCAGUCCGUAACCUGUUUGGAUUGACGGUCCUUACCCAAACGAAAAUGAUGGCUUGGUCAACCGAACUGUUUGCAUCAAGAAGGAGUCUCUGUGUUGCAGUACCAUUCUGACAAUGGAGAUCAAGAACUGCUCCACAUUUGUCGUGUUCCGAUUACCAAAUGUGCCUUCGUGUCCUUCCGCAUAUUGCUUUGAAUCCAAUCUACCUUGUGAGACCACGUCCACAUCUACCACAAGAACUACCACGACGACUGUGACACAUAGUAAGGCAGAGCCUUAUAUACCCUCUAGUGAAUACCGGUUAACAGCAAAGCCGAAAGAAUACAUUAACUCCAACAAACAGUCGAUGUGCUACAGCUGUGAAGACAUGUCUAACAUGGAACUGUGUGAUAAAGUGAAAAAAUGUGGCGAUGGGGAGGUUUGCGUAGUAUAGCGAACUAGUGCUAAGUACAGGUCUGGUUGUGCCAAUAGUUUGAUUUGUUCGACGUAUUAUCCAAGCUCAAGUAAUUGUGCAGAAUGUUGCAAUACCGACUAUUGCAAUGGGCGUGAAUGCGGGGAUGCAGGUUUAGUCUCAAGACAUGAGCGAGGCCCAUUGUGCUAUGAAAGCAAUCGCGUGCGAACAAUUGGUGAAUGCACGUCAAUUAGACCGUGUAAUAAACAUCAGUCAUGCAGUAUCGAGGAAUUUGAAUGGCUGGAUCACACACACUUAAUAAUUGGGUGUAUGGAUUUACCGUGCAGCGAUAUUCGGAGCGGUCUGCUACGUUCUUCGCCACGAUGCAAAACCUGUUGUGACCAAGACUUUUGUAACACCAAUUGCACACACCAUCAGCCCAUAGGCAUAAUUGGGUGACACAACGACCAACCGGAAAAGCAUCGUGUAUCUUCAUUUACCAUGCUUAUACAGUGUACAUACUUGCAGAUGAAUAUUAAAUGUACAGUUUAAAAUGUUCUUGAUUUUCCUCAUAUUAGACAUAUAUUCACAUCAUCUCGAUCACAGGACGGAAGCCCUUUUUUUCUGAUGAACGCCCAGACUUGUUAAUCGGAAUGCUAAUUGGAGUCUUCGUGAUGUUGGUUUCCAUUGCAACCUGUGUUAUUUUGUACGCAAAGUUUUGGAGGAAACCUCAAAGAAUCAGCAUCGAUGAAUACCCGGUGGUUAUCACAAAUAGCGCAUUGCCAUACAAACAGCCAUAAGAAGACACAACUUAUGUGUAUCAAUUAUUUACUGACGAAAACAGCAUUUUACAAUUAGCGAUUUACCAUUUAAGUCAUUGGGAACAAUGGAACAAGUUGAAUUUCAAUGUUUAAUUUUAUUAUCCGAUUAUGAACAAAUUUAAAAACAUCAGUAUUCGAACGGCAUGCUUAUAUUUCAUGUUAGAUUUUCCGUUGUGGUGUGUUGUUCGAGCCGUUUAAUUUAUGCCCGGUUUAAUGUUUUCGUGAAAACGUUUUAAUUUCUGUAAUUACCGUUAUUCAAUUGACCUCAUCAUAAUGGUCAUUGACAAAAGAACUAUUACUUGACAUUAUGUCACAUUUCUAAUUCGGAAUAAAAUCUUUAUGUAUGGUGCCAUAACAAUUAUCUAUACAUCUGCUAUGCAUUUGAAACGACCCAUGUAUGUUUAGGAUCUUCAAUACAGACAUUGUCAAAACAUAUUACUGUUGUAAGCAGGUUGAUUCCUUUUGUAAUAAACAGUUAAAGUUUU